UGCAUGAGCGGCGCGCAAAUUUCCAAGCUAGGGUUCUCGUGUUCCUUCAUAUAUAUUCCCAGUUCUCCAACAGCACGAAAAACCCCAAAGCUGAAAACAGAACAGAAUCUUAAUAAGGGGUUUUGCUGGUUGAUUGUAACAUGGAAGCUUGUUGCGGAGCUGCAAUCAUGGGUUCUAUUCAGCAGCCUGUUUGGGUUAAAGGGUCAUCUUUUCCUUCAAAAGGGGCUACUAGUGCUAUUACUGUAAAUUUGAGUCGGGUUAAAUUAUGCUCUGUAAAACCCUGCAGAGCAUCUCCAAUUGAAGGGAGCUUGCUAACAGGAAGUCCUACUUCUUCUGUUUCUGUAGGUAAUCUUGAAAUUUUUAUUUGUUUUUCCUACAUAGUAUGCAUAUGAAAUUAUGUUCAAGUAUUUUGGUUUGUCUUUUUUGCAUAAAAUUUAAUCUCUAUUUGGGGGGAGGGGCAGUGGCAGUGCCAGGAAUUUCACUAACAGGUAUCAAAUGGGGUUUGAUGGACCAUUGUUGUGUGUUUUCGUGAAGUGUCUAGGAGAUAUGUUUUUUCAGGAGUUAUUUGUCAAUAGGUUUUAGUUAUGUGGUAAUGUAUACCGUGGAAAUCGGGGCUACCCCAUUUCGUUCUUCGAUGGAAAAAGUGAUACGGAAGGCCAGGACGUCGAGCUCGGGGUCGAAGUUUCCUUCACAAGGUUGAGGUCGAUAUCACUUACCGAGGUCAGAAGAAGGCAUGCUUCGAGAUGAUGCCGGUAUGACUCAGUAACAGAAAGAGCGAGAUACCUGCAACGGGCCGGAGAUCACGGCGUGAAUUUUGGAAUGGAUUGGUCUUUGGCGGUUAAUCAGUUGUCAAAUAUGAUUUCCUAUUAUAAUUAGAAGUGUACCUAUUAUAUAAAGGGAGAUCCAUCCAUUUGUAGGGACACAUUGUUCACUGAUAAGAAAAUAUAUGCUCAUUACUUUCUUGCUAUUUCA